GAUGAACGCUGGCGGCGUGCCUAAUACAUGCAAGUCGAGCGAACGGACGAGAAGCUUGCUUCUCUGAUGUUAGCGGCGGACGGGUGAGUAACACGUGGAUAACCUACCUAUAAGACUGGGAUAACUUCGGGAAACCGGAGCUAAUACCGGAUGAUAUUUUGAACCGCAUGGUGCAAAAGUGAAAGACGGUCGUGCUGUCACUUAUAGAUGGAUCCGCGCUGCAUUAGCUAGUUGGUAAGGUAAAGGCUUACCAAGGCAACGAUGCAUAGCCGACCUGAGAGGGUGAUCGGCCACACUGGAACUGAGACGCGGUCCAGACUCCUACGGGAGGCAGCAGUAGGGAAUCUUCCGCAAUGGGCGAAAGCCUGACGGAGCAACGCCGCGUGAGUGAUGAAGGUCUUCGGAUCGUAAAACUCUGUUAUUAGGGAAGAACAUAUGUGUAAGUAACUGUGCACAUCUUGACGGUACCUAAUCAGAAAGCCACGGCUAACUACGUG
rnacentral:rRNA from 1 species